GGGGCAGCAUGAUCUUAGCUUGCUAAGGUCGAUGGCGACCGGCGCACGGGUGCGUAACGCGUAUGCAACUUGCCUUACAGAGGGGGAUAACCCGUUGAAAGACGGACUAAAACCGCAUACACUUGUAUUAUUGCAUGAUAUUACAAGGAAAUAUUUAUAGCUGUAAGAUAGGCAUGCGUCCCAUUAGCUUGUCGGUGAGGUAACGGCUCACCAAGGCGACGAUGGGUAGGGGAACUGAGAGGUUUAUCCCCCACACUGGUACUGAGACACGGACCAGACUCCUACGGGAGGCAGCAGUGAGGAAUAUUGGUCAAUGGGCGAUAGCCUGAACCAGCCAAGUCGCGUGAAGGAAGACAGUCCUAAGGAUUGUAAACUUCUUUUAUACGGGAAUAACGGGCGAUACGAGUAUUGCAUUGAAUGUACCGUAAGAAUAAGCAUCGGCUAACUCCGUGCCAGCAGCCGCGGUAAUACGGAGGAUGCGAGCGUUAUCCGGAUUUAUUGGGUUUAAAGGGUGCGUAGGUUGUUCGGUAAGUCAGCGGUGAAACCUGAGCGCUCAACGUUCAGCCUGCCGUUGAAACUGCCGGGCUUGAGUUCAGUGGCGGCAGGCGGAAUUCGUGGUGUAGCGGUGAAAUGCAUAGAUAUCACGAGGAACUCCGAUUGCGAAGGCAGCUUGCCAUACUGCGACUGACACUGAAGCACGA
rnacentral:rRNA from 1 species